rnacentral:rRNA from 1 species
CCUACGGGAGGCAGCAGUGGGGAAUUUUGGACAAUGGGCGCAAGCCUGAUCCAGCUAUUCCGCGUGUGGGAAGACGGCCUUCGGGUUGUAAACCACUUUUGUCGAGAACGAAAAGUCUAUUGAUAAUACCGAUAGAUGAUGACGGUACUCUAAGAAUAAGCACCGGCUAACUACGUGCCAGCAGCCGCGGUAAUACGUAGGGUGCGAGCGUUAAUCGGAAUUACUGGGCGUAAAGGGUGGGCAGGCUGUAUUGCAAGAUGGAUGUGAAAGCCCCGGGCUUAACCUGGGAAAUGCAUACAAGACUGCAAGACGAGAGUGCGUGAGAGGGAGGUGGAAUGCGAAGUGGAGCAGUGAAAUGCGGAGAUAUUUGGAAGAACACCGAUGGCGAAGGCAGCCCCCUGGGACGCAACUGACGCUGAUGCACGAAAGCGUGGGGAGCAAACAGGAUUAGAGACCCCUGUAGUC